GUASGGUGCGAGCGUUAAUCGGAAUUACUGGGCGUAAAGUGUGCGCAGGCGGCCGAGCAAGUCGAGUGUGAAAGCCCCGGGCUUAACUUGGGAAUUGCGCUCGAAACUACUUGGCUGGAGUGUGGCAGAGGAGGGUGGAAUUCCAGGUGUAGCGGUGAAAUGCGUAGAGAUCUGGAGGAACACCGAUGGCGAAGGCAGCCUUCUGGGCCAACACUGACGCUCAUGCACGAAAGCGUGGGGAGCAAACAGGAUUAGAUACCCUGGUAGUCCACGCCCUAAACGAUGAUGACUAGUUGUUGGAGGAGUUAAAUCCUUUAGUAACGCAGCUAACGCGUGAAGUCAUCCGCCUGGGGAGUACGGUCGCAAGAUUA
rnacentral:rRNA from 1 species